rnacentral:tRNA from 1 species
CGGGGUAGAGCAGUUUGGUAGCUCGCAAGGCUCAUAACCUUGAGGUCACGGGUUCAAAUCCUGUCUCCGCAA